rnacentral:rRNA from 1 species
ACCCCCUGAACUUAAGCAUAUCAAUAAGGGGAGGAAAAGAAACUAACGAGGAUUCCCUCAGUAGCGGCGAGCGAAGCGGGAAGAGCCCAAGCUUUGGAAUCUCCCUUUUCUGAGAUUGAGAAGGGCGAGUUGUAGUGUUUGUGGGUUGGCGGGGUCUGAAUCUGCAUUGUGGGCUCAGAUCCGAUCCCCGCCGCGUGCGGGCCGUGGGAUUUUUUAACAAUUUUGCGGCUUUAUCCCAGCGUGCAGCAAGUUUCCCUGGAAUGGGACACCGGAGAGGGUGAGAGUCCCGUUGGUGCAUGCUGGGGGUGCGCGGCUUUGAUGCGGGCGCCAAUGCUUUGAGUCGGGUUGUUUGGGAAUGCAGCCCCAAGACUGGGUGGUAGACUGCAUCCAAGGCUAAAUAUGGGCACGAGACCGAUAGCGAACAAGUACUGUGAAGGAAAGAUGAAAAGCACUUUGAAAAGAGAGUUAAAAAGCACGUGAAACCGUUGAAAGGGAAGCGUUUGCGGCUAGCAGUGGACCAGCCCGCAUGCAUGAUCAGGGUUCUUCUUGCCUCUGCAACAGGGGGCCAGGGGCCUGCACUCGUGUGUGUGUGUGUUUUUUGAUUUAUCAUCAAACAAGGGCUGCCAGCAUGGGUUUCCGAUGUGGGAGACGGCGGCACGAGGGCGCCUUUUGUGCGUGGCGUGCUGUUCUUCUUUUUCAUUUUGCCACAUUGGGGAUCUUUCUUUGAGCUUGAGCUGUGCGCGUGAUUAUGGGUGCGCUGUUCUUGCGCUGUGCUGCGCAGACUUGCAGCGCGGCUUUGGCCUUGUUGUCAUUGCUGCAAUGUUCAAGUGUGUGCGGCGCAUGUGUUGGGAAUGUUGCGUGUUCAUUUUUUCUUUUAUCAUGCGCAUUGGUUUUGAGUGCUGGCGACAGGGCUGCAAAUGACCCGUCUGGAAACACGGACCAAGGAGUCUAACAUAUGCGCGAGUGUUCUAGUUUUUUAAUUUUUACAAGACUAAGCAACGCGAAAUGAAAGUGAGAGGUGGGAUGUGUGUUCUUGUUUUUUUCUCAAGUGCGCACAGCACCAUCGACCGAUCUGGAUUCCACAACAAUUAUUUUUAAUUGCUGUGGCCUGAAGGAUUUGCGUUUUAGCGCAGAUGUUAGGACCCGAUAGAUGGUGAACUAUGCCUGAGCAGGGCGAAGCCAGAAGAAAUUCUGGUGGAGGCUCGUAGCGGUCAUGACGUGCAAAUCUGUCGUCAAACUUGGGUAUAGGGGCGAAAGACUCAUCGAACCAUCUUGUAGCUGGUUCCCACCGAAAUUUCCCUCAGGAUCGCAGAGGCUCGUUGAUUAGUUUUAUCUGGUAAAGCGAAUGAUUAGAGGCCUUGGGGAGCAAGCAUUCCUCAACCUAUUCUCAAACUUUAAAUGGGUAAGAUGGCGCUGCUUUCUUAGCUGAAGCGCGUCUCGAAAACAAAAAUAAAUAAGAGUCUCUAGUGGGCCAUUUUUGGUAAGCAGAACUGGCGAUGCGGGAUGAACCGAACGCGGCGUUAGGGUGCCGGAAUCGACGCUCAUGAGAACCCACAAAAGGUGUUGGUUGGUAUAGACAGCAGGACGGUGGCCAUGGAAGUCGGAAUCCGCUAAGGAGUGUGUAACAACUCACCUGCCGAAUCAACUAGCCCUGAAAAUGGAUGGCGCUCAAGCGUCGUACCCAUACUCCGCUGUGCAUGCAACAAUUGAUAUCAAGAAUUGAUGUGGGCAUGCACAAGUAGGUGGGCGUGGUGGUUUUAUUCAAAAUUGAAGGGAUUCCGUUCCUUCUUUUUUUUCUCAACUUCCGUGGAAGCCUGUGGCGUGAGCCUGGGUGGAGGAGCCACCAGUGCAGAUCUUGGUGACAGUAGCAACGAUUCAAAUGAGAGCUUUGAAGACUGAAGUGGAGCAAGGUUCCGUGGGAACAGCAGUUGGCCACGGGUGAGUCGGUCCUAAGAGAUGGGGCAGUCCUGUAUCAAGGCUUGGGGUGGAUGGCUGUGAAAGAUUUCAUAAUCUUUUUGCAGUUGAUUGCCCCCGUCCAUCGAAAGGGAACCAGGUUAAGAUUCCUGGACCGCAAUGCACCAUUAGAUUCGUGGCGUGGGGGGGGGAUGGGUGGUUUUUUUGGGAUGCAGAGGGUUAGGUUUUUUUUUAAAUCUUUCUCUUUGCGCUCAGCCUCCCUCCCUCUCUGUGCUGCGGGUUAGCAACAGCGGCAACGCAAACAAACUCGGAGACGCUGCCGGGAGCCCUGGGAAGAGUUUUCUUUUCUUUUUGACGAGUUUUUUUUUGAUUUCUGAAAAUCUGUCUUUCUCCUUUUGGCUCCUUUGUUGGGCUGAGAGGGGGGGCAGUUCUGGCCCGGGAAUCAGUUUGGCUGGAGAUUGGGCUGGAGACUCGGCAGAGCACCACGCUUUCAUUUUGUUUGUGGUGUCCGGCGCGCUUCCGGCGGUCCUUGAAAAUCCGAGGGCGUGCAAAAGCGAAAAACUUUGAGAAAUUGGUUGCAUGCGGCCGUACUGAUAACCGCAGCAGGUCUCCAAGGUGAAGAGCCUCUAGUUUGAUAGACGAAUGUAGGUAAGGGAAGUCGGCAAAAUAGAUCCGUAAGCUCGCGAUAAGGAUUGGCUCAAGAGGUUGAUCUCUCCCUUGCGGCAUGCUUGCGGGCGGUGGUUUUUUUUCUUGGGUUGAAUCCCAGGGGCCCCGUUUUCCGCGCGCGUGUUGCAGCGGAGAGGGCGAGGGCGGUGUUUUUUUCCGGACCUGCGCGGGGUGUGUGGGAUAGAUUUUCAUUUUUUUAUCUCAUCAUUAUCUUGCGCCUGCGCCGGCCCGCCCUUGUUCGCAACCAAUCUUGAACUGGUACGGACAAGGGGAAUCCGACUGUUUACUUAAAACAAAGCAUUGCGAGGGUGCUCGGGAGCAUGCAGACGCAAUGUGAUUUCUGCCCAGUGCUCAGAAUGUCAACGUGAAGAAAUUCAAGCCAAGCGCGGGUCGACGGCGGGAGUAACUAUGACUCUCUUAAGGUAGCCAAAUGCCUCGUCAUUUAAUUGGUGACGCGCAUGAAUGGAUUAACGAGAUUCCCACUGUCCCUAUCUACGCUCUAGCGAAACCGCAGCCAAGGGAACGGACUUGGCAAACGCAGCGGGGAAAGAAGACCCGCUAGAGCUUGACUCUAGUCCGACUGUGUGAAAGAACACCAGAGGUGUAGCAUAGGUGGGAGGCAUGGCUCUUUGUUUGCUUUGCCGAUCUUGAAAUACCACUACUCUGGUCGUUUUUUUGCUUAUUGAAUGAGACGGGGCUGGUGUUUGUGGGUUGUUGUGGAGGGGGGGGUCAUGCGCACGCCUUUUUGUGUGUGUGUGUGUUUUCUCUCUCCUCGCACAAUCCGCAUGAUAAGCACCACUUUUGGCGUUGAAACCUGCCAGUUUCGUGCUGGCGGGGGACCCUCUUUCAAGACGAGGUCAGGUGGGGAGUUUGGCUGGGGCGGCACAUCUGUAAAACGAUAACGCAGGUGUCCCAAGGCGAGCUCAACGAGAACGGAAAUCUCGUGUUGAGUACAAAGGCAAACGCUCGCUUGAUUUUGUGACUCUCAGUACGAGUACAAACCCUGAAAGGGCGGCUUCGAGAUCCUUCAGUCGGGGCGUGGGGGAGUUGGGGUGCGGCGUGCGCCGUGCUUCUCUCUCUUUUUAACCCGUACAGCUCGCAGACUGAGCCUGGAGGUGCCAGAAAAGUUACCGGCGGGAUAACUGGCUUGUGGCAGCCAAGCGUUCACAGCGACGUUGCUUGUUGUUUCUUCGAUGUCGGCUCUUCCUAUCAUUGCGAAGCAGAAUUCGCCAAGUGUCGGAUUGUUCACCCGCUAAUAGGGAACGUGAGCUGGGUUUAGACCGUCGUGAGACAGGUUAGUUUUACCCUACUGCGGACUUUUGAGUUCUUUGCAGUUGCGAUAGUAAUUCAACUCAGUACGAGAGGAACCGUUGAUUCGGAUAGUUGGUUCAUGCGGUUGGCUGAGCAGCCAGGGCCGCGACGCUACCAUCCGUCAGAUUAUGGCUGAACGCCUCUAAGCCAGAA